AUUGAACGCUGGCGGCAGGCCUAACACAUGCAAGUCGAGCGGAUGACGGGAGCUUGCUCCUUGAUUCAGCGGCGGACGGGUGAGUAAUGCCUAGGAAUCUGCCUGGUAGUGGGGGACAACGUUUCGAAAGGAACGCUAAUACCGCAUACGUCCUACGGGAGAAAGCAGGGGACCUUCGGGCCUUGCGCUAUCAGAUGAGCCUAGGUCGGAUUAGCUAGCUGGUGGGGUAAUGGCUCACCAAGGCGACGAUCCGUAACUGGUCUGAGAGGAUGAUCAGUCACACUGGAACUGAGACACGGUCCAGACUCCUACGGGAGGCAGCAGUGGGGAAUAUUGGACAAUGGGCGAAAGCCUGAUCCAGCCAUGCCGCGUGUGUGAAGAAGGUCUUCGGAUUGUAAAGCACUUUAAGUUGGGAGGAAGGGCAGUAAGCUAAUACCUUGCUGUUUUGACGUUACCGACAGAAUAAGCACCGGCUAACUCUGUGCCAGCCGCCGCCGUAA
rnacentral:rRNA from 1 species